UGAGUCGCUUUAGUUUGUGUUUUGUAUUGAAAAUAAUCUUAAUCUGUUGUUUUCUUCAUGAAGAUGAUUUUGUCUGUGUCUUUUAUGGAUUAUUAUGGCUAUAGUCCUACCGUUUGGAUAUUCUUAUCUAGAUUUUGUACGAAGUUGAUUGGUCAGUUGGCAUACUUCAGUUUUUGUUUUGGUGCAAAGCCAUCCUGAUCUGUUAAUUCACCUAUCUUCAAUCAAUCAUAUCAACAAUAUCAGUUUUCAUAUCUUUCAAUACAGUAAGAUAAAUUUUAUUUAUAUUUAAUGAGCAGUGUGAUACUAAUGGUCUAAAAUUUCAAUUUUCACAUGUAGAGCUGGGUAACUACCUGUAUGGAAAGCUUCUUUCAGUCCCAAAUAUUCGCAUCUAUGGGCCAGCCCCUUCAAAAGAAGUCAAAAGAGCUUCUCUUUGUUCUUUCAAUAUUGAGAAUUUGCACCCUACUAAUCUUGCAACGUUUCUAGACCAACAGGUUUAUGAGAGGGUAACUUCCAUCAUUUCUAUGGAAAGAGAGAAUUUAAAUUUGACAAGACCACUAGAAUGAUCAUGGAAGAGAUAAUGAGCAAAUUUCGGUUUACUUUGUCUACAUGUAAAUUACUCCAGUUUUGUUGCCUGUUACGUGAUGCAAUGUAUCACUACUAGAAAUUUGGCCUACGGCCACGCUAAAAUUGUCCACAGCUCAGAAACUGUGGCCACUUAUAUGAUUUAGCCAUGAUUAUCAAAGCGUAGAUGUAUGUUAUAGAAAUAUUGAAUCCGGAGUGUAAAACUGUGGCCUGUAUAGCGGUAGAUAUUUUAAACCGCAACUAAGAAACCGAGGCCUAUAAUUUUCAGUUCAAACUGUGGCCAAAACCCAAAAAAAAAACCCUCCAAAAAUUCCCUCCUUUUUUUUUUAGUUUCCCUCUAUCUUUUAAUAUUUUCUUUUCUAUUUUUUUAAUUAAAAAAAAGAAAAAAAAUGAAAGAAUAACAAAAACGAGAUUGCAGAGCCAUAUGAACAAAACACUAUCUGAAAACUUCAUCUCCCAAAACUAUCUGAAAACUCCAUCUCAGCUUCGCCGCUCCGCCGCUCCGCCGCUCCGCCGCUGCUGCCACCUCCAUCGCCUACAGUUGAGGUACCAAAGCUUCUGGAGGCUUCCUCUAUUCAUCUGCGUACGAUUGUUUUGUAGUUGAGGUACGAUUCUCUUCUCUCUUCGUGUUCCUCAUCUUCCCUCGUCUCCUCUGAUUUGUUUUGACCUAAUAUAUAUUUUGUUUUGCAUGUGAGGUACCAAAGCUUCUGGAC